rnacentral:rRNA from 1 species
GUCCAGACUCCUACGGGAGGCAGCAGUGGGGAAUAUUGCACAAUGGGGGAAACCCUGAUGCAGCGACGCCGCGUGAAGGACGAAGUAUUUCGGUACGUAAACUUCUAUCAGCAGGGAAGAAAAUGACGGUACCUGACCAAGAAGCCCCGGCUAACUACGUGCCAGCAGCCGCGGUAAUACGUAGGGGGCAAGCGUUAUCCGGAUUUACUGGGUGUAAAGGGAGCGUAGACGGCCAUGCAAGUCUGAUGUGAAAACCCGGGGCUCAACCCCGGGACUGCAUUGGAAACUGUGCGGCUGGAGUGUCGGAGAGGCAAGUGGAAUUCCUAGUGUAGCGGUGAAAUGCGUAGAUAUUAGGAGGAACACCAGUGGCGAAGGCGGCUUACUGGACUGUAACUGACGUUGAGGCUCGAAGGCGUGGGGAGCAAACAGGAUUAGAUACCCCCGUAC